rnacentral:rRNA from 1 species
AUGGCGACGCUCAAGGUCCCCUCCAACGUCCCGGCCCUCGCCGACGACUGCGACAACCUCCGCAAGGCCUUCCAAGGGUGGGGCACGAACGAGGCGCUCAUCAUCUCCAUCCUGGGCCACCGCGACGCCGCGCAGCGCCGCGCCAUCCGCAAGCACUACGCCGACACCUACGGCGAGGAGCUGCUCCGGAGCAUCACCGACGAGAUCUCCGGCGACUUCGAGAGGGCCGUGAUCCUGUGGACGCUGGACCCGGCGGAGCGGGACGCGGUGCUCGCCAACGAGACCGCCAAGAAGUGGCACCCCGGGAACCCCGUGCUGGUCGAGAUCGCCUGCGCGCGCGGCUCCAAGCAGCUCUUCGCUGCCAGGCAGGCCUACCAUGACCGCUUCAAGCGCUCGCUCGAGGAGGACGUCGCUGCACACGUCACCGGCGACUUCCGCAAGCUGUUGGUGCCACUUGUAAGCUCACACCGCUAUGAGGGACCAGAGGUCAACACAAGGUUGGCUCAUUCAGAGGCCAAAUUACUGCAUGAGAAGAUUGAGCAUAAGGCUUAUGGUGAUGAUGAGGUCAUCAGAAUUCUCACCACUAGGAGCAAAGCUCAGCUGCUUGCAACAUUCAAUAAUUACAAUGAUACAUUUGGUCACCCAAUCACUAAGGAUCUGAAGGCUGACCCCAAGGAUGAGUUCCUCAAGACCCUGCGGGCUGUUAUCCGGUGCUUCACCUGCCCUGAUAGGUACUUUGAGAAGGUGGCCAGGCUGGCCAUUGCAGGGAAUGGAACAGAUGAGAACUCCCUCACUAGGGUCAUCACCACCCGUGCCGAGGUGGACCUGAAGCUGAUCAAAGAGGCGUACCAGAAGAGGAACAGUGUUCCCCUGGAGAAGGCCGUCGCAGGCGACACUUCCGGCGACUAUGAGAGCAUGCUCCUUGCCCUCCUGGGGAAGGAGUAG